rnacentral:rRNA from 1 species
AUGAAUUGGUAUAGGAAGAAGGAUCCAAUUGCUAGGACUUUGCUUGAUAGUGCCGGUGGGAACCAUUUGGUGACUUAACAUGAGAUACAAUUUCAAUUGUGCCAAGCUUGCGCAGAAGAGAUCACCAAAUCCAUUAUUGCUAAUAUUGGAGAUAGGUUUUCUUUACUUGUUGAUGAGUCCAGAGAUGCAUCUAUAAAAGAACAAAUGGUUAUGGCUUUAAGGUAUGUUAACAGUCAUGGUUAUACGAUUGAGAGAUUUAUUGAGAUCAAGCAUGUUGCUGACACAAGAGCAGCUUCUCUAAAGGCAGCUUUGGAUGGUAUGUUUCUUGAGCAUGGCUUGUCUAUGUCUAAAUUGAGAGGGCAAGGGUAUGAUGGAGCUUCUAACAUGAGAGGGAAAUUUCAUGGGUUUCAAAAGUUAAUAGAAGAAAAUCCUUAUGCAUUUUAUAUCCAUUGCUUUGCCUAUCGGUUGUAGUUAGUGGUUGUUGCUGUUGCCAAGUGUUGUUCCUCUGUAACAGAUUUCUUUAACCACAUAACUUUGAUUGUCAACACCUUCAAUGCUUCUUGUAAGAGACAUGAUGAACUAGCCCAACAAUAACAUGAAAAUAUUGUAAGCCAAUUGGAGUCAGGGGAGAUUUUUGCAGGGAGAGGGAAAAACCAAGCAACCAAUCUUGUUCGACAAAAUUUAACACAAAGAAGCGCAGAAGGUGGCUUGAUUUCUCAGAUGGAAAGCUUUGAAUUUGUUUUCAUGUUGCAUCUUAUGAUCAAACAAUUGGGGAAGACUAAUGAGUUGUCACAAUGUUUGCAAAGGAAAGAUCAAAACAUUGUUCUUGCAGUGGGUUUGAUUGGUGUCACAUUGCAGAAACUUCAAGAUAUAAGAGAAAAUGGUUGGGAUAGACUCUUGGAAGAGACGAAUGACUUAUUUGUUGAACAUAAAAUUAUAUUGCCUAACAUGGAUGAUACAAUUCCUGCUUGAGGUCGAUCAAGGGGGCGUGGUGGUCAAAUGGUAAGUUAUUAUCAUCGCUUCAGAUAUGAAUUGUUCAAUGUUGUGCAUGACCAAGUUAUUAUGGACUUAAAUAACCGCUUUGCUGAAAGAUCUACUCAAUUGUUAAGAUGCAUUGCUUGUCUUGAUCCAAGGAACUUUGCUAAUUUUGAUGAAGACAAACUUUUUGAACUUGCUAAGUUGUAUGCUGAUGACUUCUCCACAUAUAAGAUUUCCUUUUUCCUUAGAAAUCAGCUUGGAACAUCCAUCGCUGAUGUGAGAACUAAUCCAGAUUUUGUGAGUUGUAAUGACCUUGGUAAUCUUGCUGUGAAGAUGGUUCAGACUGGUAGACACAUGGUUUUUCCUUUGGUAUAUCGCCUCAUUGAGUUGGCAUUCAUUUUUCCUGUUGCAACCGCGCCAGUGGAAAGAGCUUUCUCAGCAAUGAGUAUUGUCAAGACUGAGUUGAGGAAUAGGAUGAGUGAUGAUUGGCUGAAUUAUAGGAUGGUUCGCUAUAUUGAGCGAGAUGUAUUUGCAACUGUUGAUGAUGAUGAUAUUGUAUAUCGCUUUCAAUCAUAUAGGUCUCGCAAAGGGCUCUUACCUCGUCGAAGUGGUAAGUUUUUAAAUAUGUAUCAACGGUAA